GGGUGGGUAGGUUAAAUGGAAAGACCGGCCGCUUCGGCGGCAAGUGUAGGUUCGAGUCCUACCCCGUCUG
rnacentral:tRNA from 1 species